rnacentral:rRNA from 1 species
UACAGAGGUCCCAAGCGUUGUUCGGAUUCACUGGGCGUAAAGGGUGCGCAGGUGGUUUGGCAAGUUUGAUGUGAAAGCCCCGGGCUUAACCCGGGAAUGGCAUUGAAUACUGCUUGAACUGGAGGGUCGGAGGGGGGACUGGAAUUCUUGGUGUAGCAGUGAAAUGCGUAGAUAUCAAGAGGAACACCAGUGGCGAAGGCGAGUCCCUGGACGAUACCUGACACUGAGGCACGAAAGCGUGGGGAGCAAACAGG